AGAGAGAGAGAGAGAGAGAGAGAGAGAGAGAGAGAGAGAGAGAGAGAGAGAAUAAUCCGUGGAAUAAAGAAAGAAAAACAAGUAUGAAUGUUGGAAGUUUUGAAGAUGAGAUGGAAGCAUAGAUGGGCAAUAACUAUACCUUAAUU